rnacentral:rRNA from 1 species
GAUGAACGCUGGCGGCGUGCCUAAUACAUGCAAGUCGAGCGAACAGACGAGGAGCUUGCUCCUCUGACGUUAGCGGCGGACGGGUGAGUAACACGUGGAUAACCUACCUAUAAGACUGGGAUAACUUCGGGAAACCGGAGCUAAUACCGGAUAAUAUACUGAACCGCAUGGUUCAAUAGUGAAAGACGGUUUUGCUGUCACUUCUAGAUGGAUCCGCGCCGCAUUAGCUAGUUGGUAAGGUAACGGCUUACCAAGGCAACGAUGCGUAGCCGACCUGAGAGGGUGAUCGGCCACACUGGAACUGAGACGCGGUCCAGACUCCUACGGGAGGCAGCAGUAGGGAAUCUGCCGCAAUGGGCGAAAGCCUGACGGAGCAACGCCGCGUGAGAGAUGAAGGUCUUCGGAUCGUAAUACUCUGUUAUUAGGGAAGAACAAAUGUGUAAGUAACUAUGCACGUCUUGACGGUACCUAAUCAGAAAGCCACGGCUAACUACGUG